CCUACGGGUGGCAGCAGUGAGGAAUAUUGGUCAAUGGACGAGAGUCUGAACCAGCCAAGUAGCGUGAAGGAUGACUGUCCUAUGGGUUGUAAACUUCUUUUAUAUGGGAAUAAAAUGUUCCACGUGUGGGAUUUUGUAUGUACCAUAUGAAUAAGGAUCGGCUAACUCCGUGCCAGCAGCCGCGGUAAUACGGAGGAUCCGAGCGUUAUCCGGAUUUAUUGGGUUUAAAGGGAGCGUAGGUGGAUUGUUAAGUCAGUUGUGAAAGUUUGCGGCUCAACCGUAAAAUUGCAGUUGAAACUGGCAGUCUUGAGUACAGUAGAGGUGGGCGGAAUGCGUGGUGUAGCGGUGAAAUGCUUAGAUAUCACGAAGAACUCCGAUUGCGAAGGCAGUUCACUGGACUGCAACUGACACUGAGGCUCGAAAGUGUGGGUAUCAAACAGGAUUAGAUACCCUUGUAGUC
rnacentral:rRNA from 1 species